rnacentral:lncRNA from 1 species
CAGUUGUGUUCAUGUUUCAUGUGUACAGUGGAAGCUGAUGUUCAUGUUUCAUAUUGUACAUAGGAAGAUGAUAUUCAUGUUUCAUGUGUACACUGGAAGCUGAUGUUCAUGUUUCAUGUGUUUACAGUGGCAGUUGCAACAAAAUUACUGCAGGAGAUCCAGAAUCCUCCCCCAGGCGUAAAGUUGCAAAGUCUUUGUUCGCGAAGACAUUGGUUCUUUCGGAGACUUCUCAGGAACUGGUAUCCCUACCGUUGGCGCCGCUAUUACCGCUGUUUCUGGUAUUGAGGAUCCUCUCCAGUCUCCAUAUGAAAUGUACCACAAUGGAACUCACACGUCUCCUGACAUCACCUCUCACCAACCUGAUGUAUCAACAACCUCUUAGACCCACAUCAUCACUAUAUCUACUGAUUAAUGCUGUGUUCCAAAUGACACCCUAUUCCCUUUAGAGCACUGCUGUUAAGAUGGUCUAAAGUAAAGUUAAAGACAGGGAAUAUGGUGACAUUUCAGACACACUUGGUCACCAUUUCUCUGUUUGUUUUGAUACUUUAGGAAUGAUUAGAGAUGAUUAACAUUGACUAUAUGAAGACAUGGUGGUAAUAUUGUAUGGCUGAUCUGUCAAACCGCAAUCAUUCAAUAAACAUUUAUCAAGCAUCACACAUUAUCAGCUGUGCUUUAAUAAUGUGCCCACUUUGGGUCUUGGCCCAUCUGUUUGACACAAGUUCAAUGAUUAACAUGAAUGGUUCUUAAAAUCAUGUAAGGUGAUGUCCAGCUCACCGCAGAACCAGUUUGGGCCACACAUAUCCAUUAAUUGGCACCAGUUAAGGUCACGCUCAUCCCUUUAACAGCACUAGUUUUGGUCACGCUCAUCCUUUCAACGGUACCAGUUUUGGCCACACAUCCAUAUUAGGCCACCAGUUUUUGUCACGCUCAUCAAGAUUGACAUAAUUUAAUUUUGGCACUUAAAAUGCAAAUCACAAUGUUGAAGCUCAAAAAUCAGUCAUUGGUAUGCAGUUAUUUGUAGCUUAUUAGUUGUGUGGUGCAUUUGCACAGAACCCUGGCCUUGGGGAAAAGAUAAAGUCAAGAAAGCUCAUGUUAGGCUGCAGAAUAGCAGAAUUUAUUUUCUUUAAGGUGCCAUUUUUGUAUGCUCCUCCAAUUACAGUAAAAUAAAUGCUAAUAUAAUCCCUCAGUAAAUACAAAACAGUGUGUGCGUUCAGCCAAUCACAUUUACACGGAAUAACGUUUGCAUUGUUCCUCCAAGAUGUAAAACUCUGAUUGUAAAAUGUGAUAGUUUAGAAACAACUAAAAUCACAGUAAAUUUAUAACAAAUAUAAUUUGACAAAUGUUUGUGUUGCUCCCUCAUAACCUACUAUAUGAGAAAGAUAAUGAAAGAUAAUUAUUAAACUAAUUCAGUUUUUUACAAUUAGGCCUGUAUGUUUCCAGACUUUGUAAUACAAAACUAGAUGUGCAAAGGUAAACAGGCAAAAGGACGACAUAUAUAAAGAUAUAACAACAUAUAUAAAGAUGGUAUCCAGACUUUUUAACAUUGGCUGGACAGGAAAAACAUGAUCAGAUGAGGUACCAUAAAAUAAUGUAAGAACAUAAUAGCUACAGUUAGUCAAAGGCAAAUGCAAAC